UUGAAUUUAUUAAAAGUAUAAUUAAGUAACAGCAACAAAUCAAUAACUAAAAUCAUGCAAAAAUGUGAAUCUUUGCUGGAUCCACUGUUGAAUUUACCACAUAUUGUAUAUUUUAGAAACCUGAAGGCAUUUAUAGAUUUGUAUACAAGUAAUAUCCCAAAAUUCAAUACCUUAGAUUAUUAUUGAAAGUUUUGCUGAAUAGUUUCAUGUUCACUUACCUUAUGCAACGUAAAACGUGCAGACCGGGAGCAACAGAUGUAGCAGAGCUGCCAAGUCUCACCCUUUGAGAGUGAGAGUCACGCAAUGUAACCUCUUCACACGCCUCACGCCACACUUGCCAUUUCACACGCUUUUCCCCCCCUCUCACUACUUUAUAAUUAUUUUUUUAUUUAAUGAUAUAUUUCCAUAACUUGUUGCUUGAGGCUUGUUGUAGUUCGAGUCAGGGACAGGGUGAACCCGCCCUAUUCUGCCCCCGAUUGGCUGACCGAGAUAUGUGAUAACCAAUCAUCAGCCCUCGAGGCUAAAUCCAACCAACCCAACGAAAGGCACCACGUAUACAAACCAAUCAGAGGCAGCUUAGGGCGGGUCAUUGCGUCUCUAUCCUAUGAAGAACAACAUAACUCUAUGGCGGAGAAAUCGAAAAGUAAACGUGAAACGUCUGUGUCAGCGCCUCAAUAAUGCCGUGACUGACAUUUUCAUCUGAAGCGGGAGGUCAAACGGUAGGUAACCACAUUAUUUGUACAAAUAUUUUUAUUUUUAUGAAGUCAACGGUGGGUCUGACUACGUGAGACUUAACGUUACACAGGCUGCUGGUGAGCAGUGUGGCAGGUUGCUGCGGUGGGUUUAACAACAACCGUGACUAAUAGCAGUGUUAGCUAAAUCAUCACGUAUUUGCUUGUGUGAUCUAAUGGAUGCUUACUAUGAGCUAAGGAAAUUUACAGUACUGUACUGUACCUGUGCUGUUUGCAUUUCUGUCUAAUAAAAUAUUCAAUCAAUCAAACAGUAACAUGCAGCUAUCUUUUGAUCCAGAGGAUCUGACUGUGGAUGUGGGAUACUGAUUUAAAGGAAGCACCAAUCGUAAAGGUUACCUGACAGAAUUCUGUGAGCUCCAUGGAAGCGAGUAUUUGGAAAUACUUAUGCACGUUUCCAUUCGAUGGUUGAGCCUGGAGAGGUGUUUGACUCGUACCCUGCAGCAGUAUGAACCACAGUCCAGCUACUUCAAGUCAUCAGAUGAGAAACAACCAAGGUUCAGGAGGCUGUUGGAAGCAUUCUCUAACCCAAUGACAGAGGUGUACCUGCUCUUCUAUCAAGCAACGUUGCCAGUCUUCUCCACCUUCAACCUCCUCCUCCAGAGAGAGAAGUCCUCCAUCUUCCUUCUACAUGAUGAGUUUCUCUCGAAGUUUCUGAAGCCCGCAGCACCGGGAAUUGCAUGAAAUCCUCUAUAAGGACCCAUCAAACCAAUUGCCAGGUUUCCUGAACUUCUCCCAUACAACGGACCUGACGAGCGUGACAAACUGAGUGAGGAGUUUCUGGACUACCAGUCCAUGGACAUUGCCAUGCCCGAAGACCCAGCCACGUUCGACAUUGAGAGCUUUUGGGGGAACAUGGCAUCAAUGAAGAAAAAGGUGACCGGUAUGAGCAGAUUUUGGAGGCUCUCUCGUAUUGCCAAGUUGGUGUUGGUACUUCCACAUUCAAAUGCUGAUGCUGAACGAGUGUUCUCUGUGGUGGGACUGAACAAAACCCGAAAAACUGUUUGGCUCUUGAUGGAACUCUAUCAUCCAUCAUGACUGUGAAGAUGGCAAACCUUGAGCCACAGUGUUUCAAAUGGGAGCCCCCUCCCUCUGUCAUCAAGGCAUCAAAAUCUGCCACAAACACCUACAACAUGAGACAUGUCAUGUAAACCAAAACACACAAACAAAGACAUGCACUUUAUUUAUUUAUAAUAUAUAUGAUAUAUAUAUAUAUAUUAUUCUGGUUCUAAUUUUGUUACUCUUAAAAAAAAAAUGCACUAAAGGAAAAGGCUGCUAUUGGUUCUUAAAAGGCUGCUAUUAUUUCUUAAAAGGCUGCUAUGUUUUCUUUAUAUUGACAUUUUAUAAAUAAAUGUAUUUUAUUUGUCAAAUC